GUUGAAAGCCGUGGAAUGAAUCACUAUUUAGGAAAUGUCAGAUGCAUUAACACUGCUGUUGGAAGUUCCCACAGGAAACCAAGAAAAAAAGGUUUCAAGAUCAGUCUUUUACCACUUUGACCUCUGCCUACACUUAUUUGAACAGCACAGAAGGCAUACAUCUUAUUCUACUACAGUUCAGGUCCCUGGUUUGUUCUCAAAGAAGCUUAAUAUUUGUUACAGAUAAAUGGACUUGGUUGCAUCUUACAGGUUCUGACGUCCAAGUAAAUCCCAUCUUCUCAAGACUGGAUUCUUCUGAAGGCAUAAUUCCAGCAUGAGGUGUGGGGUGGGAAAGGAAAAAAUACGAAGAUUUAAAAUAGGAAGAUUUUAAGCUCUCUGCAUCUGUACCUGACUGUAUUGUAAUUUUCAGUUAAGAAAUCUAUACUAAGCUUUAUCAAUGUACAAAUAUAUGGAAAUAAAGCCCCUAAAUAAUCAAGA